AUCCUUCCGGUUCAUAGCGCAUGAUGAAUGGGAGCGGCACGCGGCUGCGUGACGUGUGCGCCCUGCGUUACGACGUGGCACAGAUCCCUUCUGAGC
rfam:Cuculus canorus isolate BGI_N303 unplaced genomic scaffold scaffold261, whole genome shotgun sequence.